AGCUCCGGCCCGCCGAAGGAAGUGGCGGCUCCCCGCGGCGGUGGGCACGGCUCGGGCUGGGGAAUAAAACCGUGCGGCAGGAGCAGGGGCAGGGGCUGGGGCAGUGGCGGUGCGCUGAGGCUUUUCGCCUUCCCCGCCGCUUUCCCCGCCCCGCAGCGCCGAGCUGCGGCAGCCCGCCCGCCUCUCUCCCCCCCGCAGCUCCCGGCGGGCGAGGGAGCGAGCGAGCGAGCGAGGAGCCGCCGCCGCCUGCUCCCGGCCCACCCUCGCCGGGGGAUUAUGCCAGCGGAGCGCCGGCAUGUCGGCACGCAGCGACUCGUAGGCAGCCGCCGAGCCGCGGCGGCAUCGGCAGCGGGAACCGCGGCCGGGAGCAGCCGGAUGUUGACACAUGUGGACCAACAGUGACAUCCUUUUCCAGCACUGCUGUCUUUGCUCCCUCCUGCAUUCAGAAGCAUCUAGAGAGAUUUUUUGCAGAAGGGAUCCUCAAUGCGUUUGCUUGCCAUUAUUUAAGGAGCCUUUACUAAAAGCUUCUGGAUUGUGUUUCUAAGAGGACAAAAGAUUUUGUAUUCAAAAUGCUUAUAAAGGAGUAUCGUAUUCCUCUUCCAAUGAGCGUGGAAGAAUAUCGAAUCGCGCAGCUGUACAUGAUACAGAAAAAGAGCAGAGAGGAGACAUGUGGGGAAGGCAGUGGAGUAGAGAUCCUGGAAAACAGGCCGUACAUGGAUGGACCAGGAGGCAACGGGCAGUAUACUCACAAAGUGUACCACAUUGGUAUGCACAUACCCAGCUGGUUUCGGUCAAUAUUGCCCAAGGCAGCUCUGCGAGUUGAAGAGGAAUCGUGGAAUGCAUAUCCUUAUACCAGGACAAGGUAUACGUGCCCUUUUGUGGAGAAGUUCUCUAUUGAUAUUGAGACAUACUACAAAACUGAUCCAGGAGAGCACGUCAACGUUUUCAACCUUUCUCCUGCAGAGAAAAGACAAACCAUUCUAGAUCCUAUUGAUAUUGUUAAAGAUCCUAUCCCUCCACAUGAAUACAAAGCUGAGGAGGAUCCAAAGCUGUAUAAAUCAGUAAAGACUAAAAGAGGCCCUCUCUCAGAAGAUUGGAUUCAAGAGUACAAGAACAACCCUGGGAAAUACCCAAUCAUGUGUGCAUAUAAACUUUGUAAAGUCGAGUUCAGAUACUGGGGGAUGCAGUCGAAAAUUGAGCGGUUUAUCCAUGAUGUUGGCUUGCGGAAGGUCAUGGUCCGUGCACAUCGGCAGGCAUGGUGCUGGCAGGACGAGUGGUACGGGCUCACCAUUGAGGAUAUCCGGCAGCUGGAGAAAGAGGCACAGCUGAUGCUGGCUCAGAAGAUGGCCCAGUUCUGCAGCGAAAAUGAUACUGAGCAGCAUGGAGUGAAGGACACUCCUGGUGAGAAGGAUGUUGAGGCCGACACAGUUUCACCUGUGGACACAGAAGAUGCUGCUAGUAACAGUGAAACAGCCUCUGGGAGAUCACUCACCAAGCAGUGGUCCACUUCUUCCAAGUCCUCACGGUCUUCAAAGAGAGGAGCAAGUCCCUCACGCCAUAGUAUCUCUGAGUGGAGGAUGCAGAGCAUUGCCAGGGAUUCGGAUGACAGCUCAGAUGAUGAAUACUUUGAUGCACAUGAGGACUUGUCUGACAAUGAGGAAAUGUUCCCGAAAGAAAUAACCAAAUGGAGUUCCAAUGAUCUGAUGGAUAAAAUCGAAACCCCUGAAUGCGAUGAUGUCCAGGGUGACUUGUAUCACGAGACAUCAGCAGAGUACCACGUUGGCUCCAGCGUAGAGAGGCUCAGCAUCAUUGAAGACGAGUCGGUGCAGCCGUUAAUGCAGCCAAGUAAAAUCCAUGUCCUCCUUUUGGUACUCCACGGGGGGAACAUCCUGGACUCGGGAAGUGGUGAUCAGAGCUCUAAGCAAGGGGAUGUCAACACCAUCACGACCGUGUUUGACACAGUGAUGAGGGUACAUUACCCAGCUGCUCUUGGACACAUUGCCAUCAGGCUAGUCCCUUGCCCAGCCAUCUGCUCUGAAGCCUUUUCGCUGGUGUCCAGCCUCAGCCCAUAUAGCUAUGAUGAAGGCUGCCUAUCCAACAGCCAGGACCACAUUCCCCUUGCUGCACUCCCUCUGCUAGCGACAUCAUCCCCGCAGUACCAAGAAGCAGUAGCCACAGUCAUCGUCAGAGCCAACCAGGCCUACAGCGAGUUCAUCAGAUCCCAGGAGGGCAUGUCAUUCAAUGGCCAGGUCUGUUUGGUAGGAGAUUGUGUUGGAGGAAUUCUGGGAUUUGAUGCCUUAUGCUACAGCAAUCAGACAGUGUCCGAGAGCCAGAACAGCAGUCGGCGAGGGAGUGUUGUGAGUGUCCAGGAUACCGACCUCCUGUCUCCUGGAAUAACAGUGAACAACACCUAUUGCUCCAGUGGCUCUAAUCUGGAAGCCAGCAGACACCUCAGCAGGAGCAACAUCGAUAUUCCCCGUAGCAAUGGAGAAGAUCCAAAGAAGCAGCUGCCACGAAAAAGGAGUGAUUCAUCCACCUACGAACUGGACACAAUCAAGCAGCAUCAAGCCUUUCUUUCAAGUUUACAUUCUAGUGUUCUCAGAAAUGACCCGGGAUCCAGGCGAUCUAGUAGCUCCACUAUGCUGGAUGGAGGAAAUAUUGGAAAGUUUGAGUUUGAGAUCACGGACUUCUUCCUCUUUGGUUCUCCCCUGGGUCUGGUUCUUGCACUACGAAAAACUGUCAUUCCAGCUCUUGACAUCUUUCAGCUCAGACCAGCUUGCCAGCAGGUCUAUAACCUGUUCCACCCUGCAGACCCAUCUGCUUCACGCCUCGAGCCUCUUCUGGAGAGAAAGUUUUACCUUUUGCCCCCCUUUAAUAUUCCCCGUUACCAGAGGUUCCCACUGGGUGAUGGCAAUUCUGCUGUUCUGGCAGAUGUUGUUCAGUCUCAUGGUGCCGUCUUCAUGGAAAGCGCGUCCCUGUCCACCCCCAUUUCAGCCCCUCAGUUCAGGGGCUUCCGGAGAGCCAGUGAGAUCAGCAUUGCCAGCCAGGUCUCAGGAAUGGCAGACAGUUACACUGCUUCCAACAUAGCCAACAUUGCUGCCAAAUGGUGGGGAACCAAAAGGAUCGACUAUGCUCUCUACUGUCCUGAUGCCCUGACGGCUUUCCCCACGGUUGCCUUACCUCACCUCUUCCACGCGAGCUACUGGGAGUCCACAGACGUUGUCUCCUUCCUGCUGAGACAGGUGAUGAGGCACGAGAACUCGAGCGUGUUGGAGCUGGAUGGGAAGGAGGUGUCCGUCUUCACCCCCUCCAAGCCCCGCGAGAAGUGGCUCCGCAAGAGGACACACGUGAAGCUGCGGAAUGUCACAGCCAACCACAGGAUAAACGACACCAUUGCUAAUGAAGAUGGGCCCCAGACCUUAACUGGAAGGUUUAUGUACGGUCCAUUAGAUAUGGUCACACUCACGGGAGAAAAGGUGGACAUCCACAUCAUGACCCAGCCGCCGUCAGGAGAGUGGGUUUACUUUGACACUGAGAUCAGCAACAGCAGUGGCAGAAUUUCCUACGUCAUCCCUGAGAAUCGGCGCCUGGGCAUUGGCGUGUACCCUGUCAAGAUGGUGGUCAGGGGUGACCACACUUAUGCCGACAGCUACAUCACAGUUCUGCCGAAGGGGACGGAGUUUGUGGUGUUCAGCAUCGACGGCUCCUUUGCAGCCAGUGUCUCCAUCAUGGGCAGCGACCCCAAAGUCCGCGCUGGAGCGGUCGACGUUGUACGGCACUGGCAAGACCUUGGCUACCUCAUUAUCUACGUCACAGGCCGCCCCGACAUGCAGAAGCAGAGGGUGGUAGCGUGGUUAGCACAGCACAACUUCCCCCAUGGGAUCGUCUCGUUCUGCGAUGGGCUCGUUCACGACCCGCUGCGGCACAAGGCCAACUUCCUGAAAUCCCUCAUCACAGACCUCCACAUGAGGAUCCAUGCAGCGUACGGCUCCACGAAGGACAUCUCCGUGUACAGCUCCAUCAGCCUCCCGCCCACCCACAUCUACAUCGUUGGCCGACCCACCAAGAAGCUGCAGAGCCAGUGUCAGUUCAUCACAGAGGGGUACGCGGCCCACCUGGCCCAGCUGGAGUACAACCACCGCUCGCGCCCUGCCAAGAACACCACGCGCAUGGCGCUGCGGAAGGGCAGCUUCGGGCUGCCCAGCCAGACGGAGUUCCUGCGCAAGAGGAACCACCUGCUGCGCACCAUCUCCGCCCAGCCUUCGGCUGCCGGCAGCGGCAGCGCCGGUCACCGCCCCGAGCGCACCCAGAGCCAGUCCGACAGCGACAAGGAGAGGGACAGGGAACGCAGCCAAAGAAGCAUGAGCAUCGCCACGGGGUGCUGGGGCCGGAGCACAGCAUCCCGCCUGGAGUCUGGCCUCUUGGGGCAGAAGUAGCCAAGCCAGAGCCAGCGACUGUCGGCUGUAGCCACCGGAGGGGAAAACAAAAGGAAAGAGGGACGAGGCCGGCGUUACGGGCUGGAAGGGUAAAUAUGGUGCUACUCUAAUAACAUCGUGGUGUUCUGGGAAGAGAUGGGAUGUUUCCCACGCGGAACGUUCAGGCCUUGCAAGCGGGAGCGUCAGGUUUGUGCAGCAUGAGCCCAAGGAACAGCUGGAAAUCGGGGGGGGGAAAGUCUCCAGGUCAAGAUCGCGCUCUCUCCUGCCUCCUUCUCUUAUCCAGGUUUAGUGACUGUAAAUAUGUGCCUCCUCGCCUUGUUAGCCAUCGCUCCGAUACGCGUGACCGAGUGCUGUCCUCAGAGCCACAGGAACGGGGAUGAGGCUGGGGGAACUUGCUCUUGGUUGUCCCAGGAGUCAGACCGAGGUGCUCUGCCAGUGCUGGCACAGGGUGGGUUUGGGGUUCAGUGAGCGCGCUGCUUCCCCGGCACAGACAGCCCCAAGCGAGGGAUUUACCAUGGGCUGCACCAGGCAGAGCAACUGAGAGCUUUACCUGUACGAGGAGCUUCAAGUUCAGCCACUUUCGCAAGGAGUACGCGCAGUGGCAAAGCAGAAAGAUGCUGUUGGUAGGGGCAGAAUGUCGGCAGAUUCACGCCCAAGCAAGUGGGGUCGUUAUUACUGUUAUUUUUUAAAGAGACAUUUUAGAAGCUGAUGGAAUUUAACGUGUUGACCUGUUAAAAGAAGAAUACAAGCAACUCUGAGCUGUACAAGCCUCAGACACUUAAUUUGCUGUUAAAGUCUCCAAAUAUUGCUCUAUAUUAUUUUCAAAACUAACUACCAUAUAUUUGCAAGCAGUUCUCAUCCAAAUGCAGGGUCUGACUCUCAACACCCACCUCUGAGACAUUUUGUUCUUCCCAGGUUCUCUCCAAGUUCAGUAGCAGCUUCAAUGGGAACCAGACUCGCUUCUUUUACCGCUACUAACCAGUUAGACUGACAAUCAUAGCACCUCCGUCCUCAUCCUUUAUUGAGCUUCUUGAAACUUCCCCGGGUCCUUUCCCCGGCCCCCCAUCUGUUGCCAUUGUACAAAUCCAACAUGGAGAAGCAAUUGUAGAGCAGGACCUUUAUUGCUGCAAUAAUACCAGAUGACGUGGGUGUAGUUACCAGGAAAUAUGCCAAUAAGUUUUCUCCACCGAUUCAGUCCAUCACAGUCUGCAUCAGUCUGUCUUCAGACACCCCCAUCUGGCACUCAUCUCUCUGAAGCAAAGAUCAACGUGCUACUCACUCAAAGAACAAUAGCAAUAGUUGAAUUCUGUGUCUGUAACCUGUUUGUUCUGAGCUGUUUCGGAGAGCGAUGCAUGUGACCCGAUGUCUUUCCACGUGUACGGAAGAGGAUCCACUUGGAUGCGGUGAGGGAAAGAUGAAUGUAUGAUCCCAUCCUUACUAAAGGGGCACUGUCAGGUUCAAGACCUAACUUAUCUUUGUUACAAAGAACGCGUUUGCUUUGAAAUGAAAGCUUAUUAAAAGUUUCCCGUACUCCUCCCUGUCGCUGUUGUCUGGGCAGCCACCAGCACGACCGCUGACAGUCGCGCUGCUUCUGCUGCAGCCCACGUCCUGUACUCGCACAUUAGCACAAUACAGCACGCACUGCACAGGCUGCCUCAGGCUUUUCCUUUUUUUUUUUUUUUCUUCCUUUUUUUUUAAUUGUUUCCAUGGGAAUCAAACUCUGCUGUGGAGCUCAGAUUUUUAUAAAAAGCAGCUUUUUGUAUUACGGAACUAUUGGGCCAGACUUUCUACCUGACGCUGUCCCUUUCAAGUCUUUU